ACUAAAACAAGUUGGGUUUGUGGGGCCGCCCAUCAGUGAUUUCCGGGUUAUGCUGUGGUCAGCGGAGCACAAGUUCCCAAGCUGAGAUUUCUGGACCCACCAAGAGCUUCAGCCAGGCAGAACCCUUCGAAAUUACACACUGAGGUUUAGCACCCACGAAGUACCAUCCCUCUGCAACAGCACUGAAAGGAAUAGGGCUGUUCCAGAGGCGCUGAGCUUGCUGCACAACACUGAGGAGUCUGCGAGCAGAGUCCACAGAGACAUGGUCUGCGUGCACCACAACUAGAGCUAUGGAACAGCAACAUGGCUCUUUGUCACAGCUUUGGUGUCUGCACUAUGGACGGAUUCAGUGUCUGGGAUGGAAAACCACGAGCAGCCCUAGAGGAGGCCACUAGAACUAACUGGAACCUGGUGUCUGAAUGUCAGCAAGAAUUGAUGGCUGUGGUCGUGCCGUUACCAACGAGGAGCUGGUGUCCGUUGCCCGCAUGUGCAAAUGCUUCUGACUCCCACCUGCUGAAGAAAGUCUUCCGCUGACUACCUGGAGUCUUUGCUCUGGAAUGCCUGGUACACGGCCUCCCAGUGCGUGACCAUGAAAAAGGUCGCAAUGGAAAUGAAGGCUAAAAAUCUUUCUAGGAGUUCUUGUUGAGAGCCAAGACUUGCAAGGGCUUUUUUCUACUCGGUCAUUUCCCCACAGCCUAAACGGAAUUGCUAAGAAUAUGCAUGCCUUUCGUAACAAUUGCUCACAUUUAUUGCAAGCUUACUAUGUGUCUGGCACUGCUCUAAGCAUUGCACAUUGACUCACCAAUCCCAAGAGGUAGUUGCUAUUUUUCCAUUUUUAUUGAUGAAACACUGCACACAGAGCAGUUAAGCAACUUGUCUGAGGUCAUCCAGCUAAAAGUGACAGAGCCAGGAAAUGGAUCCAGAAAACUUGGCUCCAGCAUCCAUGCUCUUAACCAUUACGCUACACUAUAUUGAGAAAUAGAGACACCUGGAGCACCUGGGUGGCUCAGUCGGUUAAGCAUCCGACUCUUGAUUUUGGCUCAGGUCAUGA